UACCUCCUCACUGAACUCCACCCCAGCUCAGGCCAACCCCACCCCACUCCUAAAAAGAAGCUCCCUGUUGUGCAGGUUGCUUUCUCUCCUUUGUUCGGAGACAGCCCAGCAGAUCCUCACCAUAAUAAGGGCUUGUUUUGGUCCUGGUCUGGUCCUAGUUAUGGACUCUUUUUAUCUAAUAAAUACCAUUAAGUGACCCGAAGAAUCUAAUCAAUGAACUUCCUCAAUUCUGAUCAAACUCCCGAUCCACAAAAUAAUGAGAUUGGAGAUUCAGCAUGUACUGUGGAAAUCUUCUUUGUCUCCAAUAUUUAAUAUUAGCUGUGAGCCAGCCA
rnacentral:lncRNA from 1 species